CAGCAGCCGCGGUAAUACGUAGGGUCCGAGCGUUGUCCGGAAUUAUUGGGCGUAAAGGGCUCGUAGGCGGUUUGUUGCGUCGGGAGUGAAAACCCAGGGCUUAACUUUGGGCUUGCUUUCGAUACGGGCAGACUUGAGGCAUUGAGGGGAGAACGGAGUUCCUGGUGUAGCGGUGAAAUGCGCAGAUAUCAGGAGGAACACCGGUGGCGAAGGCGGUUCUCUGGCAAUGUUCUGACGCUGAGGAGCGAAAGUGUGGGGAGCGAACAGGAUUAGAUACCCCAGUAGUCCCUGUCUCUUAUAC
rnacentral:rRNA from 1 species